AUUGAACGCUGGCGGCAGGCCUAACACAUGCAAGUCGAGCGGAGCGGCGGACGGGUGAGUAAUGCCUAGGAAUCUGCCUGGUCGUGGGGGAUAACUACUCGAAAGAGUGGCUAAUACCGCAUACUAUUGGAGUGGCAGAUAUUGGAUUAGCUAGUUGGUGGGGUAAAGGCUCACCAAGGCAAGGUUCCGUAGGUGGUUUGAGAGGACGACCAGCCACACUGAGACUGUGACACGGCCCAGGCUCAUACGGGAGGCAGCAGUGUGGAAUUGUGGGCAAGGGGGGGAACCCUGAUCCAGCCAUCCCGCGUGUAUGAUGAAGGCAUUCGGGUUGUAAAGUGCUGUUGGCAGAGAAGCGGUAUCUGCAGAAUAAGCACCGGCUAACUACGUGCCAGCAGCCGCGGUAAUAC
rnacentral:rRNA from 1 species